AAAAUCCGGGAGAUCAAUGUCGAGGCGUGAUAACGAGUGGCUUCGGCCGCGAAGUGAUUGAUACCCUGCUUCCAAGAAAAGCCUCUAAGCUUCAGUUAUCCAGAGACCGUACCGCAAACCGACACAGGUGGGCAGGAUGAAAAUUCUCAGGCGCUUGAGUGAACUCAGGAGAAGGAACUCGGCAAAUUUGCACCGUAACUUCGGGAGAAGGUGCGCCCUGAUAGGUUGUAGCCCCUCGCGGGUGAAGGCUGAAAGGGUUGCAGUGAACUGGUGGCUGCGACUGUUUAAUAAAAACACAGCACUCUGCAAACACGAAAGUGGACGUAUAGGGUGUGACGCCUGCCCGGUGCCGGAAGGUUAAGUGAUGGGGUGCAAGCUCUUGAUCGAAGCCCCGGUAAACGGCGGCCGUAACGAUAACGGUCCUAAGGUAGCGAAAUUCCUUGUCGGGUAAGUUCCGACCUGCACGAAUGGCGUAACGAUGGCCACACUGUCUCCUCCUGAGACUCAGCGAAGUUGAAAUGGUUGUGAAGAUGCAAUCUCCCCGCGGUUAGACGGAAAGACCCCAUGAACCCUUACUGUAGCUUUGCAUUGGACUUUGAACCGACUUGUGUAGGAUAGGUGGGAGGCUGUGAAACCGGGACGCUAGUCCGGGUGGAGCCAACCUUGAAAUACCACCCUGGUUUGUUUGAGGUUCUAACCACGGCCCGUGAAUCCGGGUCUGGGACCGUGCAUGGUAGGCAGUUUGACUGGGGCGGUCUCCUCCUAAAGUGUAACGGAGGAGUACGAAGGUACGCUAGGUACGGUCGGACAUCGUGCUAAUAGUGCAAUGGCAAAAGCGUGCUUGACUGCGAGACCCACACGUCGAGCAGGUACGAAAGUAGGUCAUAGUGAUCCGGUGGUUCUGUAUGGAAGGGCCAUCGCUCAACGGAUAAAAGGUACUCUGGGGAUAACAGGCUAAUACCGCCCAAGAGUUCAUAUCGACGGCGGUGUUUGGCACCUCGAUGUCGGCUCAUCACAUCCUGGGGCUGUAGUCGGUCCCAAGGGUAUGGCUGUUCGCCAUUUAAAGUGGUACGUGAGCUGGGUUUAAAACGUCGUGAGACAGUUUGGUCCCUAUCUGCCGUGGGCGCUGGAAAUUUGAAGGGGGCUGCUCCUAGUACGAGAGGACCGGAGUGGACGAACCUCUGGUGUACCGGUUAUGACGCCAGUCGUAUCGCCGGGUAGCUAUGUUCGGAAGAGAUAAACGCUGAAAGCAUCUAAGCGUGAAACUCGCCUUAAGAUGAGAUUUCCCCGGGGACUUGAUCCCCCUGAAGGGUCGUGGUAGACCACUACGUUGAUAGGCUGGGUGUGGAAGCGCAGCAAUGCGUUCAGCUAACCAGUACUAAUUGCCCGUGAGGCUUGAUCCC
rnacentral:rRNA from 1 species